CCUACGGGCGGCACCAGUGGGGAAUAUUGCACAAUGGGCGCAAGCCUGAUGCAGCCAUGCCGCGUGUAUGGAGAAGGCCUUCGGGUUGUAAAGUACUUUCAGCGGGGAGGAAGGUGUUGUGGUUAAUAACCACGGCAAUUGACGUUACCCGCAGAAGAAGCACCGGCUAACUCCGUGCCAGCAGCCGCGGUAAUACGGAGGGUGCAAGCGUUAAUCGGAAUUACUGGGCGUAAAGCGCACGCAGGCGGUCUGUCAAGUCGGAUGUGAAAUCCCCGGGCUCAACCUGGGAACUGCAUUCGAAACUGGCAGGCUAGAGUCUUGUAGAGGGGGGUAGAAUUCCAGGUGUAGCGGUGAAAUGCGUAGAGAUCUGGAGGAAUACCGGUGGCGAAGGCGGCCCCCUGGACAAAGACUGACGCUCAGGUGCGAAAGCGUGGGGAGCAAACAGGAUUAGAUACCCGCGUAG
rnacentral:rRNA from 1 species